CUAGUCGGUUGUGAGGCUGACGAACGUUGAGCGCGCUGAG
rnacentral:rRNA from 1 species